rnacentral:ribozyme from 1 species
UGCCCAACAACUCCUAUCCCUACCUCCACGCGGUACCGGCCGGAAACUAUGAGAAACCUUAGGGAAGAUCGGGUAACCAACCCCGGUGGGAACUUUGGUCGUAGGCUGACAGGGAAGG